rnacentral:rRNA from 1 species
CCUACGGGUGGCAGCAGUGAGGAAUAUUGGUCAAUGGGCGCGAGCCUGAACAAGCCAAGUAGCGUGAAGGAUGACUGCCCUACGGGUUGUAAACUUCUUUUAUAAAGGAAUAAAGUGAGGCACGUGUGCCUUUUUGUAUGUACUUUAUGACUAAGGAUCGGCUAACUCCGUGCCAGCAGCCGCGGUAAUACGGAGGAUCCGAGCGUAAUCCGGAUUUAUUGGGUUUAAAGGGAGCGUAGAUGGGUUGUUAAGUCAGUUGUGAAAGUUUGCGGCUCAACCGUAAAAUUGCAAUUGAUACUGGCAGACUUGAGUACAGUUGAGGUAGGCGGAAUUCGAGGUGUAGCGGUGAAAUGCUUAGAUAUAACGAAGAACUCCGAUUGCGAAGGCAGCCUACUGGACUGCCACUGACGCUGAGGCUCGAAAGUGUGGGUAUCAAACAGGAUUAGAUACCCGGGUAGUC